CGACAGAUUUCGAUGCGUUUUCCGGUCAAACCACGGCGAGUUAGACGUCGUGUGAGGUACCAUUCUCUUCGUCUCUUCAAGGGCUACAACUUUUGUUUUUGUCUCGCUUGAUUUCGUUGAGUUUUGACAAAGUUAUGGCCGUUUAAAGAUUGUGCAUUUUCCGGCCGAAUUCCGGCUUUCUCUCCCAUUGGGUCCGGCGACCCACCAAAACCAAGCCCAUUGGGCCUUCCCUGCUGAGCCCAACCCUUUUGGUUGUGAGGCCUUUGGGCCAUGUGUGUGUGUGUUUUAGAUUGUGUGGGUGUGUGGGUGUGUACCCGUGUGUGUGUGUGUAUAUUUAGUAUGUGUGUGCUGUGUGAGUGUGUGAGUUUGUGUGUGUGUGUUUAAGUGUGUGUGCGUGUGUGUAUAUGCAUGCCAUGCAUGCAUGUGCAUGCCGUGCAUGUGUAUGUGUGUUUGUGGUGUGUAUGUGUUUGGGCUUAGGCCCAAACCCCAUUUCUUCACCCUAAACCCUUUUAAUCCAAAAACCUUAGGACCCUAAACCCAAAACCCAAUAAAUCCUAAUCCUAGUUAACCUAAACCUAAACCCUAAUCCAGAUGUCAAGCCUAACACCCAUUUGACCUAAUUUGACCGUUGACCCCCGGUCAACGUUGACUUUAGGGUGGACUUUUCAGGUUUUCGUCCGGAACCCUUCUUAGGGUAAUUCGACGUUCUGAAUCCGUUUCCAAUGUCCGUUUUCCCAAAUUCAAUUAUUAUAAUAGAGUUUUAUUAAUUGGACCCUUUAUGUGCUUAGGGGCAAUAUUUGUGACGUUUUCGUGGUUGCUAGUUUGCGUGGCUCUUCGGCGGCUAAGUACUGGCUUAGAAUCGAGGCAUACAAUCCCGGCAUCCAGGCACUUCCGCAUCGGCCUCUUCGAGUUCUUUUGGUGUGGGACCCAUUCCUUUGUUCAUCAAAUUUUAUAUCGUUUUUUUUUGUAUUCUAGUUAGUCACAUGCUUUGAACACGUUCCUUAAAUGCUUAUUCUUUUAUAUUUAUAAGUCUUAUUU